CGAGGAUGAACACGACACGAUUUCUGAGGGAUUUCACAAACGCUUCCUUUGUAGUCCUCACCCCGGCUUAAACUCUGUGAUUUUUUUCUCCUCUGUGCCAGAUUUUGCUCAUUCUUGGCAGCUUGGCAGGGCAGAAUGGGCUGGCUGUAGGACCCCAAAGGAAGGAGCGCGACGAGCCACCAGAUGUGUGACCUCCUCACCCUGCUGGCAGCGCUGAACGUCCUUUCCUGUAAACUUCUCUGAGGUUGUAUUUUCCUUUCUUUUCCCAGCCCCCAGCUGCUGGUUAUUAUCAUUAUCAGGCAUAAAUGGCUUCUUUCACACUCCAUAUGGCGAGUGCUCUUAUGAAUAAGAUCUUAGUACCCCAAAAAGGUUUGCAUGAGGUUCAGACAGUGUUUUGCAACUAAAUUAAUAUGAGAAAGGAACAUUAUGAACCCAUCUCUUUUUGUAGGCAAGGGGAUAUUUCCAUAUUAUUGGAUCAAGUAUGUAUGCCAUACAUCUGCAGAGGAAAAAGAGAGUGAGAGUAAGAUCUUUUCUUAGGGGAAAGAAGCUGUUAGGAGCACAGCAAGUUCAAAAAAUGGAGCAGUGGGAAAGUAUUAAGAUCUUGAUUCAAGUUGCAGCCCAUGAGAGACGUUGUCUUUCUACAGCAGUGACAGCAGCUCUCUAAAAAGGAAUCUGACAGAGGGCACCUAUUUCUAGUGCCAGGUGAGAAUACAUGCAUACAUAUCUGACACAAAAAAGGCACUGUAAGAUUCCCCUUACACUGUGGUUUGAAAUUAUCACCCAUCACAUCUAUGCACUAAGGGCAAUCUGGAUGCAAACGCUACUUCUAAUUUGCAUUCGAGGCUGAAAAUAGCUGAAUGCAGGUUAUGGUUACGGGCAUGUGGAUAUCAAAAAGCCUCCAACCGCAUCCUGUUACAACUAAUGGUCUGUGUUUGCAGCACUUUACGUUGGAAUGCCCUCAAAUAUCACGAAGUAAGCAGAGCAGGAUGGCUGGGAGGGAAGGAGAGGGAAGGAUCCUGUGGCCUUGGUAGAGCUCAUUGCAUUGCACUGAUCCCUACCACGGUCAUGGGGUCAGUGUGCUGGACACAGGCAAACUGGAAAAUACACAGACUGAGGCUGAACUCAAAGAAUCAUAGAAUAGUCUGAGUUGGAAGGGACCUACAGAGACCAACGCGUCCAACUCCUGGCUCCACACAGGGCCACCCGAAAUCCAAACCCUAUGUCUGAGAGCAUUGUCCUUGAACUCCAGCUGCUUGGGGCUGUGCCCACUGCACUGGGGAGCCUGUUCCAUGCCCACCACCCUCUGGUACAGAACCUUUGUCUAACCCCCACCUGACCCAACAGGCAGUGCUGUGUAAGGAAGGAAGCACUGGUGUACAACUGUUGUUUUUUUCCUGAGAGGAAUUGUGGAUGUAACUCCUGUUUUGGAAAAUGCAUCCCACCAAAACUUCAAAUAUAGCUUUCAGUGAUCAAGAGGAGGCUCAAUGCAGUCUUCAGAUGUCCUUAAUGCUGACAAAGCUCAGAUUCAGAAAAGUGACCAUGCCCCCAGCCCAAGUGCAAUGAUUUCCCAGUCCCAGUUUUCUGAACAUGUUUUUCCUCAUUUCCAAACUGUUUUGCAGAGGUAUCAGAACGUGCUUAAUACUUGAAAAAAAAUGUGAGCAUCAUGGUCAUUGAACAAGACUUGUCCCCCUUUCCCUUCCUUUUGUUAAAGCAGAAUGAGGUUGCAUGGAGUCUUGUUUACAGUUUCUUACAGUGGGCUCUUUUACUGCCAAUGCCACAAAUGAUGUCAUUUGUUUAGCGGGAGACUGUCUAUUAGAAAUGCCAAAUGUAAUUAGGAUCUUUACUUUCAAUUGCAUUUCAGAAACACUCGUGGUGAGAAAUGGCUGCUACCUUUUGAACUCUCAGCCUAGCAGUGGGAGUUUCCCUGCAAGGGCUGCUGGCAAAGGCUCCAACCUAGGGCGAGAAGAGAUUUCACACGGUAUUUGCAACUCUCCUCCACAUUUGGAAAGUUCAUAAGCUUUCAGCCGGGAGGGCAGUGAUGUCACUGAGAAUAGCUCCUCUCUUGGUGGGGGGAAAAAAAGAAAAAAGAAAAAAACAAAAACCCAAACAUUAACCCAUGGAGAUUGCAGAGCUGAGGCUCUGCUGACUUCAGGUCCUCCAAGCCUGGAAGGAACGGGGCACAGCCUGGCCAGAUGCUGCCAGCUGGUUCUAAGCCAGCGUACUGGGAUCCUACUCCACCCAUGACACUUAGAGAGAAACAAAGGGUGUAAAGGGUGUGUUAGGGACAGGAAGAGGCGUGAUGCUUGUGACUGUACUCCAGCUAUUCUCCACUGUCAGGAGCCCCUGAGGGAGGAGGUGGGAGGAGGCGAGAGGAGGAAGGCCAGGAGCAGAUGGCAUUAAUUUAGCACAGCCCAAGGCUGCCGUGCAAUAUGCUGCUGCUUGGUCCAUGUUUGGAACGAGCCUUAAAACUUGUGUCCCCCUGCUUGUAGGCUACCCUUGUAGCCAUACAACAAGGAGGGGGGAUGAGGGCAUCCAUCUGGACCAGGCCUGGGCCUGGAGCCCUGGCUGACAGCAGCCAAGAUGUCCUUAGCAGGCGGCUAAGCUCUGGGGGCCCAUUCUGGCGCUUGCUGACGUCAAUGGAAACCUUUCUGAUGACUUCAAUAGGCUCUGGAUCAGGCUCCUGACUUCUAAUUGCAAGCAUGCAUGGUUUCUCUCCUUUCUUCUUCUCAUCAGAGAUGUUAAAAAGUGAAUGUGACACCUACUCCUCCACAGCUCUGGCUAUUCAAGCACCUUUCUUAUAGUGAUGAAGGGAGUACAUCAUCAGGGCAAGGUGUAUGUGGAUGGUGUUGAACUUCUGCUGUGUUUUACUGUGAUUUAGCGUCAGCACAUACAGCACUGGAAAUACUACUGCUUGUGGCACACAGCCCUGCCCUCUGCUUUUCCUUUCUCCAGUAAGGACUUGCUGCUCCUCCUGCUGUUCAGCCAUCACCCGUUGAAUUCUAAGCCAAGCAACCUCAAAGGGUUAAUUGUCUUACUUCACUAUUCAAAAAAUACCAUGGCUGUUAAGCACGUAACUCAUGGGUUCUACCAACUCUUCUGCAAAAAUACAAGCAGGUAAACCACCAGAAAGCAGCUUUGUACCACUGAAAAGAAGCUUCACCCAGACCCUCCUGCUGCCUCUGACCCUUCAGUGCCAGUGGAGCCAGCUCCAUGUCCUCCAUCGUCCACAGCCCGCCCACCACCACCUCCUCCAGGGAUUUCUCUGCAGGUUAUUUGAGGAUACGGACACUCGAGUGGAAAUAUGAUGAUGAAGCACCUGUGUUUUGACUAUAUACUCUCUUUUCCUGCUGUUUUUAAUGUUCUCUACAUUCCUGUGUGAUUACUUUUUUCUGUGUUGCCUCUCUUUCAUUGAGCUAGUGAAUGCAAAUCAUUUCUGAGAUGUUAUUAAUUUACUUCCAGCUGAUAAAAUGUCUGUGAGGCAGGAGAGAGCAUGAGUCCUAGCUUGUGUCCUUUGAGCACGAACUACUUGCAGCCAGCAAUCUUGCCCUGCAGUUCACGCUUACUCCUGUAAUAAACAGGUCAAUAGAAGAGUUGCUGAUUUACAUUUUAAAACAUGGAAAAAAAAUAAUCUCAAACUUUGAGAAAAUUGAGACAAAAGGAAGGGGGUUUUGUGGUGUUUUGUUGUUUUUUUUUUUCCCCCAAAGCCACGUAACUGCUGAAAAGGACAAGGGACUGUUGACUCUGUGCUGCAGAAUAUACUGAAUCGCUCUUGCAAAACCCAGCCACUGUGUGGUAUCCUUAACAGGCCAGUCUAGAUUCUUGAUGCAGAACUUUCCAAAAUUUCCUCUUAUUUAUUUAUUUUUAAACCAAAUUUGACAUCAUGUUAUAGAAACUUUGUUAUUGCUCACUAAGGAUUUAGAGGCAAAAGGUUCCUUUCAGUGCUUCCAAUUACAGUAAAUCAAUGAAAACUGAGCACAGGGACAGAUCCAAAGUAUGUUAAUGCUUACUCAAGAAUUCUUGCUGUAAUUUUGGUGCAAUUGCUUCAAUUUACACAGCUACACUUCUGUAUCCACACAGCCAUCUAUUUUAAUCAGCCUUGAUUUUUUUUUUUUCUGCUGGGUCAAUAGGAAAAUACUGUGUUAGCAUUCUUAAGAUAUAUUCUUAGCUAAUGGUGAAAAGUAUUUCCAACUCAGGUCAAGCCACGAGGGAAAUAUUGUUAAUGAACUUUGUCUUUAGGACUUCUAAAUCAACAGAGGACUGCAAAGCCUUGGAGAGAGGGUUCUCAUCUUUCCCUUUACUGAGUGCUAUGCUAUACCCUGGCCAGGCCAUGCUCUGCGAAGCCCCUGGACAAGCUCUUCCCAGCAGGAGCAGCACCAAGUGCAGAUAGAAAACACUUCUGAAGUCGUGCAUCCCAUCUGAUGUUUAAAUGCAAAGAACCUAGGAAGGAUAGUCCUGGAUUACUGCUGCUUACAAGGAAGUGUACUUCUACGGAGGUCCAAAAGCCCUUCUGUACUCGGAAGCUGGGAUGGUUUGGCUUUGCUCUCCUUUAGCACUGAUGCAGCUUCAUUACCACCCAACAGGAAGUGAUGGUUACACUGCUGUCAAACUGGUGGAAAUAACAGGAUUAUCUUUGACUAACCAUGGGGUUUCCCACCUCAGGAACUGGAACAUCCUGAAAUCAUUCUGCUCCCAGACACGUCUUCUUUUUUUCCGUUUAGAUUAAAUAAUAUAUUUAGGGCCUCUGAAUGGCCUUAUGGUCUUCUGAGUGUGAAGCCUGCAAAAACAAGUGGGAAGGAAAAAGGCAGGUGGAGGAAAGGCUCAGCGAGAAGGCAAAGCCCUACCAGCCAAACCCAACUUCUCUUCAACUUACGCAAAGGUAUUUGUCCAUCAAGAGAAAGGUGGGACCCUGGAAAGUCAUUCUAACCAACAUUUUGAAAGUCUAUAAAUUCUGGAGGGACCAGGAAGAGUGCAAACAUUUUGUAAUUAGGGGCAAAACCCUGAGUGCUCCUACAAGUGCACUACAAGAGCACUACAAGUACUGAUAGUGAAGCCUCACUUCACUAUCAGUCCUUGGGGCUCCCUGCCUCUCCCAGCCCCCCCAGCCCAUGUGUGGGAUGCAUUGUGGCUCCCCCAUCUUCUCAACAUAUUUUGCUAUACUGAGCCUUUGUUAAUAUCACUUUUUGUUGACGUAUCUGUAUGGAAAACAGAAAAAUCCACUUUGUUGGAUUUGCUUUUGGUCUGAUUCCCUAAAUUCUACAAGGUGUUACAAAAUCCUGAACAUCUUUCAUUUCAGGUUAAUUGAAGUAACUGAUACAAUAGAACGCAAUUUAUUCUCUUUCAAAUGGAACGGUGGAAAACAGGCAUUAUUUUAUGUCCGCCCUCAGUUUGUCUCAGGAAUAUUUUUGCCAAUGGUAUGAGUUGGUUUACGUUCAAAUUUUUCAAUUAUUCUUUUACUUCUUUUUAAAAUGGUCACUUCUCUGGUGUGCAGAUCAAACAUUAAUGAAGUUUGAAAGGUCUUUUUUUUGAGCAACAUAAAACUUAAUAAAAUAAUUUUGCAUUUUACAGCUUUGGUGAGGAAAAGGUGUUAAUUAAGAGUACCAUGGCAAGAAAACUGCUUUCUGGCUCUGCUUACAAACUGGCUUAUUCUUGUAAAUAAUCAGUCCCACCUAAUUACCAGGCCAUAUUGUAUUUACUAGCAACAGUCAAGCAUUCCCAGACCUCAUAGUUUUAAGUCUGUGAAAUGCUUGCACAUUAUGAUCUCACCUCAUGAUACAGAAUCUCCAUUCAAGUUUAUACAUGACGUGGAAAGUCUCCGAGAUGUACUCCGAGGUGUAAAAUUAGUGUAAUUCCACUGGAAUGAAGGAGACGUGCCAAUUUGUAUCAAGUGAAGCUAUGGGCCACAAUGUCUCAAAGACAUUUGCUUUUGUCUGGCAAACAAGCAAGCAAAGUUCUUCAUUUUAAUGGAAAAUAAUGGGUAAGUUUGUCCUUGGUAAUGUACUGAAGCAGAUCAAAGAUGGAACUGCCUUACAAGGCUCUAUUUCACUAACAGACAAUUAAUACGAUAGUAUCAGGGAAAUGAAUAGCUACUCUGUGCCUCGGUGUUUCCCCUUAUGGACUGUAAAACUGCUCAGUUUAUCAUUUUCUGUCUUUAGGCAAAAAAGGUAACUCUUAUUUGCAUGUUUGUCAGUUUGUACUUGAGAGUACAAAAUUUACUUAAAAACAAGCUCAGCAAGCUAAAUGGAAUGCCAGUGGUCUUAUUAUCCCAAGAGAGCAAAGCACUUAAGCCCGUGAUUAAAAUGAAGUUAAUUGAAUUUAAACAUGCACUUACAGUAAAGCAUAGAACUAAAUACUUCUCUGAAUAGGAAAGAGAUUAUUCUCACACUUAAAUGUAAGCACUAAUAAUAGUUUUGCUAACAUUGAGGUUUAUAGCCUUCUCUCCGCAGUUCCAACUAUCCCACCAAUAAAACCUGGCACCAACAUCAGAGCUUUUCUAAGAAAUUCGUAUCGGAGAAUGAAGAUCAAGGUGUUGCUUAUACAAUAAAUUGGCAGAGCACAUUUGCAAAAAGAACACAUUAAAUUCUGGGUGUGAUGAGUUAUGUAUAAUAAAGGCAGGAAAGAGCUUA